ACGUAGGUCACAAGCGUUGUCCGGAUUUAUUGGGCGUAAAGGGAGCGCAGGUGGUUUGUUAAGUCUGAUGUGAAAGCCCCCGGCUCAACCGGGGAGCUGCAUUGGAAACUGGCAAACUUGAGUGCAGAAGAGGAAAGUGGAAUUCCAUGUGUAGCGGUGAAAUGCGUAGAUAUAUGGAGGAACACCAGUGGCGAAGGCGACUUUCUGGUCUGUAACUGACACUGAGGCUCGAAAGCGUGGGGAGCGAACAG
rnacentral:rRNA from 1 species